AUUGAACGCUGGCGGCAUGCCUUACACAUGCAAGUCGAACGGUAACAGGUCUUCGGAUGCUGACGAGUGGCGAACGGGUGAGUAAUACAUCGGAACGUGCCUAGUAGUGGGGGAUAACUACUCGAAAGAGUGGGUAAUACCGCAUGAGAUCUACGGAUGAAAGCAGGGGAUCGCAAGACCUUGUGCUACUAGAGCGGCCGAUGGCAGAUUAGGUAGUUGGUGGGAUAAGAGCUUACCAAGCCGACGAUCUGUAGCUGGUCUGAGAGGACGAUCAGCCACACUGGGACUGAGACACGGCCCAGACUCCUACGGGAGGCAGCAGUGGGGAAUUUUGGACAAUGGGCGCAAGCCUGAUCCAGCAAUGCCGCGUGCAGGAUGAAGGCCUUCGGGUUGUAAACUGCUUUUGUACGGAACGAAAAGCCCUGGGUUAAUACCCUGGGGUCAUGACGGUACCGUAAGAAUAAGCACCGGCUAACUACGUGCCAGCAGCCGCCGUAAAAC
rnacentral:rRNA from 1 species